GCUCCCUUAGCUCAGUUGGUUAGAGCGUCCGACUCAUAAUCGGUAGGUCAAUGGUUCAAGUCCAUUAGGGAGCACCA
rnacentral:tRNA from 1 species